AGGUCCUGACUGCCAAUGAACCAGGCAAUGAUUCACAGGUGGAGAGACAGUCUGGGCAGCACCAAGCCGACAGCUAUUAUGAUUAUGAGUGGGGAUGAUUAUCGAGAACAGAAAUAACUGCAUAUCAUCCAAACCAUCUCCAAAUGAAUGGCUGCAAGGAUCCAGGAUCAAGAGAUAAUCCAUCAUGAAAACUGUUUCAUAGGAAUCAGCGAAUCCUGGGCCUGCCUGACCAUUCUGUUGCCCUGGAUGUGAAGCCACGCUGGAACUGCAUUUCUCAUGGUUGAAAGAGUUACGCAUCAAUAUCCAGAGAUACAAGAAGCCUUCCUGGACCCACACGACAAAAUGCUUAGGAGGAGAGGCAGGAUUUUUUUGAGACUAUGGAGGAUAGCUGGACCUUGGUCUGCCUGGGGGAUCUGGGGCCAUGGCCUUGUAUUCAAAGGAAAGGUGAAAAAUGAGGAAGUCUGGGAACCACUGAAGAAGGCAGCAGUGAGGGACGGAAGUAAUCAUCAGAACGUA